ensembl:lncRNA
CCCACUCUGACAAUAAAAACUGGUUGAAGAAAAUGUUUACGGUUUAAUUGCUCUCCAUAUCAGCAACACAGGCCCUAAAAAAAGACAGUUAGGCAGAAAGAAAACAGCGGUGAGAACAUGACAGUAGAGGUGGUGGCACAGGCAACACUGAGAGAACAUGACAGUAGUGGUGGUGGCACAGGCACAGGCACAGGCAACACUGAGAGAACAUGACAGUAGAGGUGGUGGCACAGGUAACACUGAGAGAACAUGACAGUAGAGGUGGUGGCACAGGCACAGGCAACACUGAGAGAACUUGACAGUAGUGGUGGUGGCACAGGCAACACUGAGAGAACAUGACAGU